ensembl:lncRNA ELDR EGFR long non-coding downstream RNA
AACAGAGGGCCGUUACACUCACAGUGUAAGAACAGACUGACAAUUCCAGGGCGCUGGCUUUUAUGAAAAUAGGAAACGCCACGAUGCACUCUAACGUGGAGAUGGGGCGCCGUUCACACUGAGAUGAGACAGGUGGAAAAGAGAGCUCGCCCUUCUUGCAUUGUCACACGGAGCGGCCCUCUCCCUGUGCAGCGUGGAGUCCCCUGGGCGCGGGCGAGGCUCAGGCGGGACGCGGCGGAGACCGAGCUUGUCCCUGUGUGGACCCGGGCAACUGCCGGUGGGCGAGGCCUGGAUGGUGGCCAGGCCGCAGCCACCCGGACGUUUGCGAGCGCCGAAGGUGUGUAAAAAUCGCUCCAGUGGUGAAUUGGAAACUCGCAGUGCCAGGAAGUGCUUCCACAGGCUUAAUGCAUCUCUGCUCCUCUUUUUUCAUAAAAAUUCAAAGUGUUUAGACGGGGGAUGCUGAGAGAGAAGCCGGUUUGCUGGGAGGUGCGAGCCCAGAGCACACGCUCCACCUAGACUGCGGGCAGUGCCCCACCAUGAGGAGCUCAGCAGUUUCUUCACGUGGUGUUUUCCACCAUGCAAAAACAUCCAAGAUCUAUUGUUUAUGUAGCUUGUACUUUGGGUCAGGCCCCGGUUCAAUUCCUAACAGUGACAUUUUGUAUUUGUGUGACUAAUACACGUGUUAUUAAGAAAGUUACUACUGUCUUUAAGAUGCAGUUUCCUCAUCUGUGAAAUGGAAUAUUUGUGUAUUCCAUAUGUUAUAUAAUAUUACUGUCUGCUUAACCUUGGCAUAGUGUUUGAAGGACACAAAGCCUGAGUCCAGCACAGAGCAGGUGCUUGAUGAAUAUCCCAGACACGGAGGAAGGCAGCAUCUCGAUUCCAAGUUCUUUUCCUGUAUAUACAUUUAUAUCUCUCUGAAUAGGCAUCUGCAUUUGUUUCUUUUAUUAUAGACAGGUUGUCUGAUCUCAAUCCGUUAGAGAUGGGGUAGCCUUAGGGACCCUCUGGUCCCACAUCUCACUGUACAGGGGAUGCAGGAUUUGCCAAGGUCCUACCCAUUAGUGAGUAGCAGAGCCUGGAUGAGUUCCUCGGAUCAGGAGGAGGUGGUGUGCUCCUGUCCUCCUGUGAGAUGAAGCCAUUCUUAAUCAGAGCCUCGGAUCAGGAGGAGGGGCUGUGCGCCUGUCCUCCUGUGAGAUGAAGCCAUUCUUAAUCAGAGCCUCGGAUCAGGAGGAGGGGCUGUGCGCCUGUCCUCCUGUGAGAUGAAGCUGUGCUCAACCCCGGCCUCAGAUCAGGAGGAGGGGCUGUGCUCCUGUCCUCCUGUGAGAUGAGGCCAUGCUCAAUCCCAGGACAGGUGCAGGCGAUUGCUUUCACCUUCUAACUUUAGAAUCUGGAGAGUCCGCAUAGCUCCUACUUUCGAAGCUGCCUCAGAGAGUCUUUGUUAUUGCAAAAUGCGUGUGGGCAGGCUGGACCAGGCAGUGGAUCUUGUUGUUUUGUUAGGGAGAAAGGAAAACUGAAGUUCCAUCACCUGCCAGUUAGUCUUGGUCUACCUCCAACCCAAACUUGGGCUCAGUGAAGCAGAUUAAUAAAGCAAUGGGGCAUCUCUGGCUGCUGCGAGCACCAUGAAUAUGCAUGCAGUGCAGGCCACCGGCUGGAACGCUUUUCCCACCCUGGAAUUCGCCAGUCACGUUUCUACUCUCUGGGUUUCUUUCUAAGUUGAAAGAUUCUGGAAUUGUGGAGCUGGAAGGGAUAUUAGUGAAGACCAUCUGGUCCAGUGUCCUCAUUUUACAGAUGAGCUAACUGAGGCCAGAGGGGAAGGGCCACUCCAGGGCACACUGCGAAUGGCUCACAAACCCAGGACCAGGCCAGAUCUCGCAGCUCUUGCUCCAGAGGAUGCUUAGUGCCUGCAGUGCUUAGGGCACUCAUUUUUUUGCUGAAUUUUGUUUAUUGAGACCAUAUGGAAAGCGAGUUGAGGCUGAAGUUACAUGCAUUCAGGACCAAGAGAAAUGCAAUUGAUCACAAGAUCCUUCUGUGUUGGGCCGCUGAGCAAAUCGUGGGGUCACCCUCUCUCUUAGCAGUACAGGCUAUGUCGAUAUGAUGAUAUCACCUUAGAGCUAAUGAAAUGCAUUCCUGAGAAAUAAAAUGAUCGUUUCUGUUUUCUGCAGAGCAAUUCCAAAUGAGAGAAGCAAUAACACUUUUUAUGACCUAUUAAAAUCACUCUCAUUUCACUAAACAACCUUCACACCUGUGGCAGUCCUUGCUUCCCUCGCAGGGGAAAUACCCUGAUGUCGGAAAAAACUAUCCUUGAGUGAGGCCUGACACUGUGCCUGUGAUGAUGUGAGCCAUCUGCAAAAUUCACCGUGGAGGACAGAAUGCCACUUAGGCUAAAGCAGGAGGAAGGGGCUUAUAAUUCUCGUCAUCUUUUGUUUGAAUGCAAACGAAACUACAGCCCAGGAAAUAAAUUCAAUGUACUUUGACAAAACAUGGGUAAUCUUACCAGCAUAGUCUCAAGUGGAGAAAGGUGACCACCUAAACUAAGAAUCAACAAAAAUCAAACAAAAUGAAACAUGUUGCUUAGAAAUGCAUUCAUUUGUGAUAAAACUGUUUUUAAAAAGCAAGAACAUGAUAGACACCCAAUUUGGGACAGUGGCCAUGUUUAGAGGGCUGCAGGGGGGAUGCUGUGUAGGAGAGGCACAGAAAAUUGGUGUUGUUUGUAAAUUCGGGGGUGAGUUAAAAAAGUAGGGAAGAAGGAAGAUACCAAACCAACUUCUGGACAGAACUUCUGACUUUGUAGCAGCCUUGCAGUCUUUAUUAAGCAAGAUGCGUUAUGCCAAUGAUUUCAGAUAAUUUACUAGCAAGAGGAUACUCAAUUCUAUCUUGUUUACGAAUGAAAACUCCAAAAUAAAUGAGGCUCUGUGCCGCGGCACCUCGUUAUUUCUUGUUCUGC